GACGAACCGUGCGAACGUUGUUCGGAAUCACUGGGCUUAAAGGGCGCGUAGGCGGGCCACCAAGUCCGGGGUGAAAGCCCCCAGCUUAACUGGGGAAGUGCCUUGGAUACUGGUGGUCUCGAGGAGGGUAGGGGCAUCUGGAACGUUGGGUGGAGCGGUGAAAUGCGUUGAUAUCCAACGGAACUCCGGUGGCGAAAGCGAGGUGCUGGACCCUUCUGACGCUGA
rnacentral:rRNA from 1 species